UACGAAGGGGGCUAGCGUUGCUCGGAAUCACUGGGCGUAAAGGGUGCGUAGGCGGGUUUUUAAGUCAGAGGUGAAAUCCUGGAGCUCAACUCCAGAACUGCCUUUGAUACUGGGAAUCUUGAGUAUGGAAGAGGUGAGUGGAACUGCGAGUGUAGAGGUGAAAUUCGUAGAUAUUCGCAAGAACACCAGUGGCGAAGGCGGCUCACUGGUCCAUAACUGACGCUGAGGCACGAAAGCGUGGGGGGCAAACAGG
rnacentral:rRNA from 1 species